rnacentral:rRNA from 1 species
AGCGAACGCUGGCGGCAUGCUUAACACAUGCAAGUCGCACGGUCAGCAAUGGCAGUGGCGGACGGGUGAGUAACGCGUAGGUAUCUAUCCUGAGGUGGGGGACAACCACGGGAAACUGUGGCUAAUACCGCAUGAUGACUGAGGUCCAAAGGCGCAAGUCGCCUUAGGAGGAGCCUGCGUCCGAUUAGCUAGUUGGUGGGGUAACGGCCUACCAAGGCUCCGAUCGGUAGCUGGUCUGAGAGGAUGAUCAGCCACACUGGGACUGAGACACGGCCCA